ACAAACAAUGUGAACUAUACUUAUAAAGGUGAAGCGAGGGACGUGUAAGUGGCGUCUCUCACAUCGCUACGUUCUGAUUUUUCUAAUUUUCUGAAAUUUUUGGAUGAAAAAUAUCAAAAAUUAGAACUAUCUUUCUUAUUUUCAUAGGCUCUGUGCUGUUGCACUUGUUGCACUCCCUUAAAACCGGCCUUGUAUACAGUGUUCUGAAAAUUUGCACCAUUCUUCAGUCUCUCCCAAAUCUUAUACCUGGCAUAAAAGAACAGGCAAUCAGCACCAUAGCAAUAAUACAUAAAUGGAGAGAAUAAUUCAGUAGCAAAUUCACCAAAGUCUGAAAGUCGUCCCCCUUCUUUCUUAUUAAAUGGAGCCGACGUUUGAUGGGGCAAUUUGUGACAGAGCACGUGAAACUGAAAAAAUAUUAGAAGCAGCUGGACGGUUUCAUAGUAUACAAUAUACAUAGUAGCAUAAUGUGGCUGCUAAGCUGGUGCUGAUGUGGAAUAAAAUUUUCCAACAGAAGUUGCUGUAUCGGAUUUAUAGUAAAUAAUAGAUUCCGGAACAACUUGGACAAAGAUGUCCACUUCUCAAUCUUAGUACAGAAGACCAAUAUUCACAAAUUUUAAGAAUUUUAAAUUUUAAUUAUGCUAUCGAUUGCAAACUAAAAAAUUCACUAUUUAGUCUAUGUUUGGCUUCACGGUAAACAGAGCAGAGAAUACAUUGAUUAUCAGGCAGACUUGUUUAAUGAAACAUUUAGGAGUAAGGAAUAAAAGAAACCAGUGAAAAGAUGCAUAUGGAACUUUAACGUCAAACCUCGCUUUCAAUAAGACAAUUUCCCCUUCAUUCCAUCAACAGCAAGGGAAUAGAACUCCAAAUCAGUGAAGUGUUUGUUAUAAAAUGGUAAUAUUGCAUGCAGGAGGUAUUCUGAUGUACUCCGCACAAAGAAGCAGCCUACAUAAAAAAAAUUGUUGAUACAAAGGAGGAAAUUUGAUCCAGCAUUUUUUUAAAAUGUAUUAAGCAAAUACAACUUUUCAAGCAAAUGGGGAGCUACAACAAAAAUAAAAGCCACUUAUUCAAAACAACUGAAAGUCAAACGACAUUCAGAAGUAGAAGAAUAUUUAGCUGGGAAUGCCUUUAAGAAAGAAAUUGAGUAGGAUAAAGGAGAUCAAGGAGUCGAUAACUAGGAUGAAUUAUGGCUUCUUCAAAUUACUAACCACCUUCAACACAAUCUUUACAAAACUAACCACCCAAAUUUUCAAUUCACAAAACUAACCAUCCUAAUUCAUUCACACCUCGGGCGAACAUGGUUAGUUGAAAAAAAAUUUGUAAACCCUUGGCUCGGGCAAACAUGACAUAAAAACUGUUAUAUGUUCGCCCCAUCCACGGACGGACAUAACACGGGCAGACAACCAAGCUCCACUUUCACAUUGUUUUUGAACUUUCCUUUUGCAAAGAAACAGCCAGCUAAACAUUAAAACUAGGGUAUCUUUUACCGGUCUUAUAAUAUUAAAUGAAAAUAAUAUUAUAUAAUAUCAAAUAAUAUUAUUAUCAAAGUACUAUUAUAUAUUUUGAGAUUAUAAUAUAAUAAUAAUUUAUUUUUGAAAAGCAAAAGCAAAAUAUAAAUAAUAUAUUUUUGACAUUAUAAUAUUUUGACAUUAUAAUAAUAUAUUUUGAUAACAUAAUAUAUAAUAAUAUAUUUUUAUAUUAUAAAUACAAUAAUAUAUUUUGGUAAUAGAAUGUAGAAUAUAAUUUUUAAUAGUAUAUUCUGAUAUUAUAUCAUAAUAUCAAAAUAUAUUAUUAUAUCAUUAUAUAUUAUUAUUUUGAUAUAUUAUAUUAUAAUAUAAUAUUAUUUGAUAUUAUAUAAUAUUAUAAUAUAAUAUUAUAAUAUAAUAUUAUUAUAAUAUUAUCUCGUAAAAGUAAAUUACCCUUUAAAAAAUCAUAUCGCUCUUAAUUUUUCAGCUUUUUUUUUCGGUUUAUACAAUUUUUGAAGCUCACAAGACAACUCUCAAAAUAAUAUUAUUUGGUAUUAAUACAUCAAAUUUACAUUAUAUUGUUAUAUUAUAUCACAUUAUCAUAUUAUAUUAUAUUAUAAUAUUAUAAUCAUUAUAUAAUAAUAUAUUUUGAUAUUAUAAUAUUAUAAUCAUUAUAUAAUAAUAUAUUGUGAUAUUAAUGAACUGAUGUCAAAUAAUACUCCAUUCGUCCCUCUUUAGCUGUCACUUUGACUUUUUGCACGUAAUUUAAAAUGAUUAAAAAACAUACUUCCAUUUAUUAAUUUUAAGAUAUAAAUUAUAAACUUUAAUUCAAAAAAAAAAACUUUUAGAAAAAUAAAAGAAAGUAGAAAAUAUCAGUCAACUCUGAAGUAGAACUAAAAGGGAAUUUGAGGGAGAACAUGAAUCUUACAAAACUCAAAACUCCCGAUAUAAUAACUCAGUGUGUUCGCCCAAACCUGGGGCGGACACACUAUCAUUGCCCAAGUGUGUUCGCCCGGAUGUGGGGCGUUUUAAGUUUUUCUUUGCCUUCUGUGUUCGCCUGAGGGGUAAAUGAUUUAGGGUGGUUAGAUUUGUAAAACGAUCGCCUGAGGGGUAAAUGAUUUAGGGUGGUUAGAUUUGUAAAACGAUCGCCUGAGGGGUAAAUGAUUUAGGGUGGUUAGAUUUGUAAAACGAUCGCCUGAGGGGUAAAUGAUUUAGGGUGGUUAGAUUUGUAAAACGAAAUUUUAGAUAGUUAGUUUUGUAAAGAGUGCGUUCAGGGUGGUUAUAAAUUUGAAGGAGCCGAUGAAUUAUUAUACAGUCUUGAAAAAGAUGACUCAACUAUAACUGCAGAGGGAAAAAACGGCUUUCACUGGCCUCUGUACUACCCAAUUACCAUCAUGCCAAAUGUGAAGUACCAUUAUAUCAUAAUUCAGUACACAAAAAGGAGGAGACAGAUAUUAGUUUACCAUACAUCAAUUGACUUACAUUCAAAAAGAAGCGAAAAUAUGCAAAUACCACAGGAUACAGAAGGCAGUAUUUACAUAUUAUCUUUCUGUAGAAGGCGAUUCAAGGAUAAAUACAUAUUCUAUUAUCACCAUUUUCUCCCAGCUAUCUUGAACUAAGAAGCUACUAAACCGAAACUUAAAAAAGAAAAAGACGGCUCUCCUGGUAUAGCAGUUACCUGAAGGCUGAAAUGGAGCAAAGAGUUAUAACAUUAAUCGAGAAGUAUUCCAUAAUCAAACCAGAGAACUGUUUUGAGUUUCUACUACUUCUCUGCAGAGACAUGUUUUAGUUCCUUCUCCUAUCCCUACACCAAGAAAAUUUUAUUGUUAACAUAUAGUUCUUACAACAAAAGUAAUUUUAACUGUCGUAAUAUAUAAUUACUUAAUUCUCCAGCAUUUUAUAAUGUUAUGCGUGACCCAAAUGAUUACACAGAACGCAUUGGACAUGUAACUUACAACUGCUACCAGAUAAAGCAUUCGAACUAUAUGAUGCAAAUCAAUCUUGCUCUUAUUCACUAAUUUCUUAUGAUGUGAGAUGUUACGGGUUGAGAUCAAGGCAUCGAGCUACAAGUUACCAGAUUCUCUUGAGAUUCUUUUGCUCCACUUUCCUAUUUCUAUUAUCUAUACAAAUAACAGCCAAGUAAUCCUACCUAUAUCUCUUAAGCUAGUCAUCUAAUUUACUGGUCUCGGUCAAUAAGGAGUUUUUACAAUGAACAAAAAUCCCAAAGGGACUAUUUGGGAGCAAUCUAAAAGGUUUGGAAGCCCAACAUAUAAAAGACUCUGGAAAUAGUUAAUAAUUAUACUAAUUAUCUUGUUUGUUUCUCUACGUAAAAAUACUUAUCCCUAGUAUUACGCUAUUAGCAGAACCCCAGUCCCCCUCAGACACUCUGCAUAAUAGUACAAAAUUCAAAACGAAAUUGAAGUAAAACCUAAAGAACAAUUCAUACCAUUUAAUUAAUGAGAAAUAGGUGGGAAAUGACAAGUCGCUCGAUUGCAGAUGACACAGACAAAAAAAACCCAUAUAUAUUGAGAAAGUAAAGGCUUAUAGGCCAUUGUCUAUGAAACUUUGAGUACCUGGAAACCUUCGGUCGUCAAAAAAUUUCUUAUUGCAAGUGCUUCUGUUGCUUCUUGCUAAGACAAAUCCAAGAGAUGGUCAAGUGAGACCUUUACAGAACAUUACACUUGUGCAUAGUGAGCACAAUCAAGCUUAUUGGAAUACUGAAAAAUGAGUACAUGUUAUACUCAAGAAAAAAAGAAGCACCCUGUACAAUAAUAUAUUGGAAAUUGGAAGAAAGAUUUAAGAAACAAAACUCAAGUUCACUUAAGUUUCUUCAUCAUAAAAACUAAGCUCGACUGUAUAGGCCCUGCCUAGACUGAACAAGUCUAUACAGCUUUGAUUUUGUUAGGCAUGCUAAGCGAACAUUAUGUCACAGCUUAAUAGGUCCAUAAAAGUAAGGGUCCCAUCCAAGUAAGGCACCAAUAGAAUGAAGAACAAAAACAAAUUCUCUAUCAUGCACCUUUGCUAUUACUUAACUCUUUACAACAGCUAUUGUCUUUACCCUAGAUGAAAAUGUAGAAGAUAUGAGUAGGAACAAUUUUAUAGACAAUGAAGUAAAAAGAACACAGACAUGUCAAACAAUCUACUUUUAGCUCAUAAUAACCGAGAAUCAAGACUUGCACAGCAGAAAAGGCAUUGAAAUCAACAAUAUCAAGAUAAAUAUAUACAUCGUUUUUAAGUCAUUCGACUACAACCCCGUGAAAUAAAUUCUAGAUUAAAGGCUAAAAUUUCUAAAGAUCGUAUCCGUCAUUAUGGAGUUCCCUAUACAGAGCCACAUAAAGGCCUGGAUAGACGAAAUGGGUGAUCAAGGUGUCAAGGAAACUCAAUUGUCGAAAAUUCUCAUCGGAUACAUAACUGUCAUCAAUUCUGUAAGUUCUUUUUUUGAAAUUGGUAUUCAUCCAAAAACUCUCUGUGAGGUGCCUAUAACAGCUUGCAAUGAAUUUGACUAAUAAGCCUCCCUGAAUCCACUUUUCCAAUGCAGCAUCUCCUCCAUAAUUACGGCGCUGCCGAGAACUACUUUGAGUUGUUGCUGUUGUGAGACUAAAACUCGAUAUUUUGUUUAUCAGUUCAUCUUCUUUCUUUUGGUGAAAAUUUCGAACUUCCUCUAAAGGAACGUGCCCACGGAUCCGCUGCUCCCAUGAAUCUGUGUACAACUCAGCCUUGGUGCAUCUGCUAAUAGCUUUGUAAACCAUUGCAGCAAUCUCAGGAGACCGAUUAGAAAUCAUUGUUGACAACUUGACAAAUGAUAACAACCUGUGCUCCCAAUUUUUGAGGCAGGGAUGUCCCCGACAAUAUGCCAAUUCCCCUUUCUUGAUAGCUAUCCGAAAAUCUUCCCAUUCAACAUCCAAAUGAUGCCCCUCCAAUAUAUGCUUGUAAAUCACAAACAUAAUCGCCUUGUUACGCUUAGCUGGGCUAUCCGUGAGAUGACGUUUUUGUUGUGGAUGAGUUACUUUGUGAACAAUUUUUAUUUUAAUUUCAGGAUCAUAAUCUUUAUGCAGCAAAGAGUUUUUGAAACGGUGCCCAGGAGGUGAAAUGACAAGAUAGUUCUCAAGCAUAUUUAAACCAAGAUGCUCUUCAGAACCUAAUUCUAUAUAAGCAUCUAUAACUGCUCGCACUAAUUGCCUAGCAUAAUCACGCACAAUCAAUAUUUCAUCACCAUUUUUCAUAACAAAUUUCUUCACCGCAGUCUUCUUACCAUCAGCGCCUUUAUCUUCAACACAAUCUUUUAGAGUUUUAUCAUAUUUGUGAACACUUAAACAGAAAUUCGAAUCAUUGACAUCAUUAAGCGAAUAUUCAUGCUUUGCGGUGAUGAUUUGAAAAACAGGAAAGUCGAGUGGUUCUUCUUACCAUCAGCGCCUUUAUCUUCAACACAAUCUUUUAGAGUUUUAUCAUAUUUGUGAACACUUAAACAGAAAUUCGAAUCAUUGACAUUAUUCAUGCUUUGCGGUGAUGAUUUGAAAAACAGGAAAGUCGAGUGGUUUAAUAGUAAAAUUACCACCAAAUUUAUGAUUUAAAAAAGGACCUGGCUUCUGGACGGGAAACACUUCAUCACCAUCGGGGAACGCUUCAUCAGCGUCAUAAAACUUGUCUUCAGAGAUUUGAGAAGAGGAGGAGCUUGACAUUGUAAGGUGUUUGCAGAUUGUGAGGCGGGACAGCGGUGCAGAUGAAGGUUGAGUAUUAUGACUAGGGUUGAGUGUUUCGUUGCUUUCUGGCUUCUUGCUUCGAAUAGGUAGAUAAAGAUUUAUUUUUAUUUUUUUUGAAAUCGGUAGAUAAAUAUUUUAAAUACACUUCAAUUUUAUAUUUUAAAGAAUGAUUACUAAUACAACCUUCAACUUGAUAACACUAAACUAACUUGUCUUCAAACUGGCUACAUUAAUUAUCUUGUUGACCGGAAAUUUUCUGGAAUGAUCGAGAAAAUAAAGUUCAUGAAAUAAGUUUGUCAAAUUGAAUUUUCCUGUUGCUUUUUUUUAAUUAAUUAUUAUUUACAUCAGUAAUCUUAUCGUAUCGUUUUAUCAAAUAAAUGUAAUACUGAUUAUAUAUAUAACAUUUUGCUUUAACUAAUAUUACUCGACAUUGGGUUUAGACAUAUCGCGGUCAUUUUCUUCGACUGUAUUUUCUCCAACUGUUAUAUUUAAGACAUUAUUUACUCAAAUUAUGAAUUAUGAUAUUCGGACCAACAUCUCAUAUCUUUUAUCAUCAUGAAACAAUAAGAAAAUGAAUAACAACAUAAGUAACAUAAUAAUAUAUAUUAAUUAAAUUAUUGAAGUAUGUCAUAAUUAAGAAAUAAUUCUCGAUAUUCUAAUAGCAUUUGAUUUGGAAGAAUAAAUUUUUUUGUAAAUUUAUUUAGGUUGAUAGCAACUGAAAUAAAAUAAUGAAAGAAAAUAAAAUAUAAAACAUAAUACUCCCUACGAUCUUUUAUGUUAGUCUCUUUAACUUUUUGCACGUAUUUUGAGGUGCCAAACAAUGUAUAUUUAUAUAUUAUUUUUCAAAAUUUCUAUUUUUGAAUAAAAAUAUGUUAAACUUUUAUUCAAGGAAAAAAAAAUUGAAAAAUAAUAAGUAAAAGUAUAUUUUUUUAUACACCUCAAAUUACGUGCAUAAAAUCAAAGCGACUAACAUAAAAAAAUGAAGGGAGUAACUCAAAAUCAAAUAAAGAGCAAAAGUAGUUUAAAUUUAAAAAGAAAAAAACAUAAAUAAAUCGCAUGUACCGUGUAUUUGGAGUAAAUUAGUGCAAUCAAUCUUAAUUUAAGUGAUUGAGAGAAUUACGUAUAAUAAAUACUCUGAUUUAAGCCCUCAUUUGAUUCAUUCAAGGAGUAAAACUGUAAAAAUAAAUUUCGUAAACUGUACAAAGUAAAAAUGUAGUGUCUUUAGCAAUAUUUAAUCGAUAUAUUACAUAUAAAUUUUUCUAAAACUCAAGUUAUCUCACGUGUAUAUCAUUGGUCCUGUGACUUUUAUAUAUUAUCACGUUAAGUAAAAAAAGUGAAGUGUAUUUAGCAAUACUCACGAUAUAUAUUACAUAUAAAUGUUUCUAAAACUAAGUUAUCACGCAUGUUAUAUCAUUAGUCUUGUGACUUUUUUUUUGAUAAAUGAAGCAAAAGUAGUUUAAAUUUAAAAAGGAAAAAACAUAAAUAAAUCGCAUGUACUGUGUAUUUGGAGUAAAUUAGUGCAAUCAAUCUUAAUUUAAGUGAUUGAGAGAAUUACGUAUAAGCAAUGCUCUGAUUUAAGCCCUCAUUUGAUUCAUUCAAGGAGUAAAAUUGUAAAAAUAAAUUUCGUAAACUGCACAAAGUAAAAAUGUAGUGUCUUUAGCAAUAUUUAAUCGAUAUAUAUAUCACAUAUAAAUUUUUCUAAAACUCAAGUUAUCACAGAUGUAUAUCAUUGGUCCUGUGACUUUUAUAUAUUAUUACGAAUAAUAUCUCACUACGGUAAAUAAAAAAUGAAAUGUAUUUAGCAAUAUUCACGAUAUAUAUUACAUAUAAAUGUUUCUAAAAUUAAGUUAUCACGCAUGUUAUAUCAUUAGUAUUGUGAUUUUUUUUUUUUGAUAAAUGAAGCAACACCUCGUAUGAAUUUUAUACCAGGGAAAAAAAUAUACAAAUAGAGGACUCCUCUAAAACAAAUCCUCUAAAAACACACUCAAAGAGGCUCAAGCAACUACUCCAACAGAAAUAAAAGAAGAAAAGAGAAAGAAAAGAUCCAGAACAAAAAAGAGUAGCACCCUGCACAACCAAAAAAAUACCACACUUGCGAAGCCCAAAUCAAGCCACAAGCACUCAGCCCAAACGAAAACACCCUGGGCCCAAUAUUCCACAAAACCCCAUCCUGGCCAGAGAAAAAAAAUCACAGUUGGAUAACAACAGACCCCGGCUCCAUAACACCUCCAAAGCACACCAGCCUGGAACCAAAAAAAAUUCACCAUCACAGCUGAAUUUAAUUUCGACUUAAAAUUAAAUCUAAUCAGACUAACAGCACAAAAAAACUUUAAAGCUUCAGGCCCUCGAAAACCAAUAAAAGAACAUAUAGGCCUCCCAACCGAAUCAUCGCAGCAGCUCAAGAAAAUAUUAUUACGAACAAUAUUUCACUACGGAAAAAAAUAGUAACAAGUGAAAUCAAAAAUAGGCACCAGGUCUAGACCUGACAAAUUUUCACACGACACGAAAACGACACGAAAAUUUAGUGUUUUAAUUAAGAUUAUCUCGGCAAUCUAUUAUUAACAACUUCUUCUCAAUUAAUAUAUAUACAUAUAGACACACACAAUCUUACUCCAAUACAAACUCAAUUAUCCUAUGAACCAAAAAUCACCAAGUACAUCCCAAUUUUACUAUAUCCACUCCACAAUUGCUACCUGCACUCCAAUACAUUGACUUCAUAUUCUUUCUAUUUUCCAUUGCUCAAGGGCGCACUACUGACGUGACAGGACCAGUGCUGACGUGACGGGGCAGCUGAUGUGGCGGUUGACACGUCAGCACUUUGCUAACGUGGCAAUCUGGGUGGCCUUAGUGAUAACGUGGCGUCUUGGUUGCCCUGAUGAUGGCGUGGCAGUCUAAGUGGUUCCUACUACUGACGUGUCGAUUUGAGUGGCCCCCAAUACUAACGUGGCAGCUGAUGUGGCAGGGUGACGGUGUGGUUUGAGAUUUAACAUAAUAAAAGCAUUUUUCAAACCGUACUGCACUGCAAUUUUCUAAUGUAUAAAAAUAUAUUAUUUAUAAUUACAAGCUUGAGAGAGUUUGGAGCAGCCACCACCCAUCCAAAUCUCUGCUUAUAUAUAGAGAUAGAUGUUCCUAACUUGUUUAACAAAUCAACUCUCCAGCUCUUAGCUGUAUUUCAUAACAAAUCAAACUUCCUACUCUGACAUACAUUUCAAACCCCAAAAUAAACCUAUACCUAAAUUAUCUUCCUCUCAUCUUGCAAACUUGGCAACAUAGAAGUGUUAUGAGAAGUCCGAUGAGAGCAUCAAACUUCCAAAUAUAUGCACUAGUAGAAUGCUGAGUACUGCAAUAAGCAACAAAUAGUAAAUAGACAGUCUGCUGCCACCUUUGUUUCUUGUUAGGUCUCUCUUCAAAAGUUCCUGAUCAGAAGAGCAAAAUAUUUCAGAAAAAUAUGUGAGAAUAACCACAUAGAAUAACAAGGGGAUAUGAAUAAUAUCAGAACCAAGAACAAAAUACAUUUCUUUUGAUCUACAUACAUAAAAUUCUUCUGGACCAAAUAUUUCCCCAAAACAAAUCUGGAAAAAACAAUAUGCAAAAACCUUUCACGCCAGGAAUCGAACUGUAUGAAUGUCACUAAUAUUAUUCAAAUUCUAUGUUUUGAUUUAUUUUUCCUGCUUUAUAUCAAACAUAAAAACAGGUGGAUGCUUUCUCAAAGAACAAAGUGUGUUAAUUCUUUCACCAUAAAUCCUAUUCAGUUCAUAAGGUUCUUGCAAGACUAGCAUAGACAAAUUGCGAGACGAAAAAGAGGCAUAAGCUUAUCUCUCAAAAACCAUGAAACCGUAUAUUAUGGUUUUUCGUCUGCAGGUAGAGCUUGGAAAAGCAAGCAUCAAAGUCCAGAAGACUUAGAAAUGGAACUAUUCAGCAUAUUUUGACAAGAAAUAGAAAGAACAAAUCCUCAGCAACACACAACAACAAAAAUAAUAACAAUUAUUUUUGUGUCUUACCACUUCCUCUUUAAGCCUACUAUUAAUAUCUUGGAUAAUGGACUGCUUCUCCUCAGUAAGCAUUAACAUAAUAUCUUUAACCUGGAAAACGCAAAAAGAACAAAAAAAAUCACGAGAAGGAAAACGAAUUCCUAUCUUGUCUAUUUCGGUAACAUUGAGGGAAUCACAAUUUGUGGUGAAAACAAGUAUAAGUAGCAAACAGAAUUUACUAAGAAACGAUACAUAACAAGCCAGAAGGUGAAAUAAUAGAACUUAGGGCACACUGCAGUUGUACAUUACUUGCUUCAAUAAAACACAAUAAAUAACCAAGAAAAAAAAAGCUACUCAGAAGAGUUUAGAUAGCCAAUUUAGCAGCAGAGAGCUCCUUCGAGGGGGUUAAUAUCAGCUAACUCAUUAUCUAAAACUUCAAAGAUUAGAACAACUAAGAUGAUAUUUAAGAUUUCAAUUAAAAUAUUUUGUAUCUAGUUCUGACAAAGUUCUGACAUAUUGCAGUACUUACUCUUAAUGUACAAGCUAAAAUGAUAUUUAGGAUUUUGUAUGCAACAAGAAAUCCUAUUGUUAAUUUUACAAUUUUUAUGAUUCUUCAAUCUAGUAGUCCACAGUUCACAUCCUCUAAACUUUUCGAAGCCCGACUGAAAUCUGCAGGAGUUUUCUACCAACAGACAAAAACAGAACAAUGCUAUAAAGUUAGCAUAAUUAAUGUUAGAAAACUAACAAGUGAUCAACUAUUAUAAUAAUAUUUAAUAUUUAAUACAUAAAUAAGUAAAUAAAUAACCAUAUGCACCCUGGUUCCAUAAAAUGGAUGGUGGCUACUUCACUGACAGCUGAGCUGCCUAAACCAACAUCCAUAUAAAGAAACACUCAAUAUCAGAUGUCCAUUAUCCACUGAUUAAAUCUCAAUACUUGUAUUUUAAUCAACUAAAUCAAGCUAUGAACAAAGUUUACAAACAAACCAAUCAAUGUAGAUCACGAAACAUUUAGUAUACAAGAAACUAUUGUCGUGAAUAAAUGUAUAAUUCUGUGUUAUUUUCGUUAACCUCGGCAUAGUCUAUCACAUAACUGUACAAGGACCAAGAAAACCCCUGUGCUCGUUCUCGGGUUCAGUUUUAAUUUUUCCAAAUUUAAAUCCUCCUUGUUAUUGUAGUAAAAAGUAGUGUAACCCUCCAACCUACUGUAGGAUUUCAAUUCCCUUGCCAAUAUUUUUCUCCCCAAACGAGAUAGCGUUAGUAGAAUUUGUGUAGUACUAACAUUGGGUAAAUCUCCAAAAGAAGAAUGUGUUUUUUAAAUCCUGAAUCCAAUUCAGUUCAUAGGGUUCCCCAAAUGAGAGAAGAUGGGUAGAAUUUGACAUUCAGUAAAUGUCUAACCUAUAGAAGAAAAAGUGCUUUUUUAAUCCUAAAUAACAUCCAGUACAUAAGAUUCUUGCAAGACUAGCACAUACGAACUGCGAGGGAGGGGCCAAAAAAGAAGUUGAGGGUAUUCUCACACCUAAUAUUGUUGCAAGCGAAAGGAAAAAGUGGCAAAAGCUUAUCUCUCAAGAACUAUGAAACCUUAUAUGUUGGAUUUUUUAAUCUCAUGGUACAGCAUAAAAAUUGCCAGCAGGCCCAGCGCCAAAGUCCAGAAGACAUUAAAAAUGAAGCUAUCCAGCAUAUUUUAUCAAGAAACUGGAAACAAAUUCUCAAUAACAUUCAGCAACAAUAAUAAUGAUUUUAGCUCUCACCAGUUUGUCUUUAAGCUUUGCAUUCUCUUGGAUAAUCAACAGCUUCUCGCUAGUAAACGUUGAUAUAAGAGCUUUAACCUGGAACACGUAAAAACACACCAUGACAUAUUAUCUAAUCUUGUCUAAGACUGAGGAGCCAUAAUUUGUAGUGAAAACAAGUCCAUAGAGCAAAACCGGAGUUUACAAAGAAACGAUUCAUAGCAUGGUGAAAAGAACUACUAAGUAACAUGUCAGGGAAGAUGACUAAACGAGUUGCUCGAUAUAUGAGAUAAAAGACAAGGGCAGAGUUGUAAGAUCUGGACUGAAAGUUAUAAAUCGAAAGAAAUGUAGAUAAAGAUGGAAGAGAGAUGAUGGUGAUAUUCAUACAUGUGUGUAUGCAUUUGCAGCAACUGGGGGUUGGUGCAGAAGUGGGUUAAGUAGUGUACAAGGUAUAUGUGGUGGAUAUUUGGUUCGUAGUCUGUACACUAAUUUAGUUUGUAUUUGAGCACUUAUAUGUACACACACACACACACACACAUAGACUAGUGAUCAGUGUUAUUAAAAGCGCGCAUAUGCGCACGCAUAUGCGAUAUGCGAUGCGAUGCCCACCUAAAGCGCAUCGCUUCGGUGAUGCGAUGCGCCUUCAAUGAUGCGCUCGCUUUUAUGCGCAUCGAGCGCUUAUGCGCUGUUCAAAAGCGAAAAAUAAGCGCGCUUCUUUUAAAAUGAGUCAUUCUUAAAGGAAAUGGGUUCAGAAAUAACCCUGUGGACCUUAUAGUAACUAACAAAAAUAGAUACAGACCAGAUAUAGAUGCAAGAACAAGAGAUAUCGAACCAGAGACAAAAAUUAAACUCAUCUUCUUUUAUGAUUAUUGCAUAUAGAUACCCACAUAUAUAAGAUACACAUAUCUUGUAUACAAUGAUAUAUAUUUAUACUUACAAGUGUUGUAUAUACAAAUAUGACUUGAGUAUGAUGAAGAAGACUUUGUUAAGGAUCCAAAUUAUAUUAGUAAAGAUGAUGAUUUCCUGAAUAUUGAUGAUGAAGAAGUGGAAGAAUGGACUAAGUUUGGAAUUCUUUGCUACUUUGACUGUAGAAGAAUUCGGUUGCUUUAUCAAUUAAAUGUCAUCUUAUCUGUAAAUUAACAAUUUUCUGCUUAUAUAUUAUUUAUAUAUGUAUAUUUAUUUGUCUUCGAUGAAUCCGCGCAUUCCGCGUUGCGCUUAUGCUCUAGGGGGCCUUUGCACUUAUGUGCGCAUAUCACACUUAAUAACACUGCUAGUGAUCAUACAGAAACCUAACACUAAAUAAAACUGGAAACCCCUUAAUUUGUACCACCCACCCCACUUUCCACCUUUCCGUCUCCUGGACAUCACACUGCCAUAAUCAUCCACCGCUACUUUCAUUGCCAUCCACCCCCAAUCACAUCACACCAUCUUCAUAUACCCUGCCUUACCGCCUACCAUCUUCCUCCACCGCCCAUCAUCCGUUCACCACCACCGUCGUUGCUCCCCUUCGUCUUCCUUUCCAACAACCUCCCCCCUCUUUUUUCCCAUUUUUCUCUACACAUGGUAACUACUAUGAAAUCUAAUUGUAAAUUCCAGUACCGUCCAUCAUUAAAGAUGGCUUGAUAGGGGUAAUGAUAUAAUGGCGUAUAUAUGUAUGUAAUAGCUCUGUAUCAAUAUUUAGUGAUUUUUGCAAUAUGAAUCAGGGAUUAUUAUAACACAUAUUAGUGACUUUUGGACUAUCAAUUGGUGAUUAGAGUUUGAAUUUGGCAAUUAUAAUAAUUUGUGAAAAUAAUGGUUUUAUGUGAGGUGUUGAUCAAUAGUCAUCAUUAAUAGCUCGAACCAAUUAUGGUAGUCAGUUAGUGAUCAGAGGUGGUGGUGGUGAUCGAAGAUCCAGUCGUAUAUAUCUUUUUAUUUGAUUAUAAAAACAGAAAAUCACUAAAUAUAAUAAUUAUAAUCAUUGGUUUCUAGUUUCUAGUNACACACACACAUAUAUGACUCAUUUCUAUGUUCACAUCACAGUUAAUUUAGUAUUUGAGUUGGCAAUAUUUUGUAACUUGUUCUUUGGGGUUGUUUAACCAAUCUGUGUGGGUAAAUCACAGACGAGACACACGGAGUUUGGUAGUCUUGGGAAUGUGAUCAUGAUCAUUUGUUUGUUUGUGAACAUGUUCAUACAUUUCACUAAAAUCCUUCUUGUGGAUAACUAAAGAAGGAACUGUUUGCAUUGUGCUUGAGCAUUGUAUAAAAAGCUGUUACUUAUACUUAAGCAUGUUUUGGCAUACCUUUUAUCACAAAAACAGGGACUUAUUUCGGGCAAUUUUUUAUAUUUAUACAAUAAUUUUUAGCUUCAAAUAUUUAAUAUGUAACAUUCCAUAUUUGCGUAAAUAAGUCACUUAUUUUCUGAAAAAAGUACAUAUUAUUACAAAAAGGGUUUGCAAGGCAAUAAUAGAUAUUAUAAAGUUACAAAUUACAGUUGCAAAUAUAACGUGUUAUGCCCUUUAAACUUUUGAUUAUAAUCUUUUGUAUUUGGUUCUCAUAAAGCUCCGACAUUUUAAAUCAAUUACUCUUCACAUACAAGUCGGGACUUGGGAUGAUAUCUAAGAUUUUGUAUUCAGCAAGGAAUCCUGUUGAUUAAUGAUUCUUGCAGUCCACAAUUCAUAUCUUUUAAGGGUAUUCCCAAAUCCUGACUGGAAUCUUCACGUGUUUCAAACCAAAAGCAUAAUUUGUAGUAUUAUCAUUUUAUUAUCAUCAUUACAACAAUAAUGAUAGAAAGAAUAAUCACAUGUACACCCUUGUUCCAUCAAAUUCUCAUUAUAUGCCCAUUGAUUAAAAUCUCAACAGAUGUUUUUUAAUCAACCGAAUCAAGAUAUAAGCAAAGUUUAUGGAUAAUCAAUCAACAUUGAUCACGAUCCACUUAGUAAACAAGAAACUACAUAAUUCUGAGGAGUUAUAGGCCAGCCAUUGACCUUGACAUGGUCUAUCACUUAACUGUGUACUUGGGAGAUGGGACUAGGUAGACCCUAGUGCUCACUCUCCCAAUUUUCAUUUAAUAAUUUUUCCAAUUUUAAAUACUACUUCUAUUGGAGUAAAAAGGAGGGUAAACCCUCCAAGCUACAGUAGGUUUUCAUUCCCUUUCUUCCCGAUAUUUUUCUCCCCAAACCAAAUAGCAUUAGCAGAAAGUAGAAAUUGUGUAGUACAGACAUUAGGUAAACGUCUGAAAGAAAAAGUCUCAUUUCAUUCUAAAUGCCAUUGAGUUGAAAAGGUUCUUACAAGCCUAGCAUAAACGACUUAUGAGGGAGGGGCCAAAAAAGAAGUCAAUUCACACAUGAUAUUAUCACAAGCGAGAGGAAAAAUAGGCAUAAGUACAGCAUAGAGAAAUUGCAAGCAAAGUCCAGAAGACUUCAGAAAGGAAACUAUACAACUACAAUAAUAAUGAUGUUUGGCUCUCACCACUUCAUCCUGGAGCCUUUUACUCCUUGUCCGGGAGGAAUUUGGAUCUUUAGCAAGCAUUGACAUAAGAUCUUUAAACUGGAACAACACAACACACACACACAAAAAAAAAAAAUCUUAAAACACCAGGAGUUAUUAAGUCUAUGUCAGUAACACCGAGGGAACCACAAUUUGUAGUGAAAACAAGUCCAAACAGAAAACUAGAAUUCACUAAGAAACCAUACAUAACAUGGUGAAACAAUAUUCCACCUUUAGGCACACUGUAGAUUAUUUUCUUCACAAAUAUACAAUAAAUAACCUGAAAUAAACAGGCUACUUAGAAGAGUCUAGAUGGCCAAAGCAGACAUGUGCAAAAAAUGGCAUGCACAUAUUAUUGAUAUAUAAAACAAACAAAAAUUUGGUCUAUUUUUUAGUAUAAAAUUAAGCAUAGUGCAGUAGAAGAAGGUUUCUUGGAGGGGGUUCAUAUCAACUAACUCAUAAUCCAAAACUUUGAAUUUUAGAAAAACUAAAUUGCAAUAUACCCCACAAGUAAUAAGUCCACACCACCCUCAUGUUGCACGGUCAGAGGAAGGAGAGAGAUAUAUCUAUUAUAUUUUUAAUUUCUAGAUUUGAACAUUUAAAACAUAACUCAACGAGACAAUAAAGAUUCUCAUCAAUAAGAUUGAAAAAAUACUUUAUUGUUUUUUUUCUGAAGUGAUUAUCACAAAACAGGUUAUGAAUGUCAGCGACUGAUAUCAUAAAAGUACCCAAUUACAAAUGCAAAGUAAGAUGUGUUAUGUUCAGUAUAAUUUUGAUUAUAAUCUUUUGCGUCUAGCUCUCAUAAAGCUCUGGCAUUUUGCAUCAGUUAUAAUAACAUUAGUUAAUCUUAAUGUACAAGUUAGAAUAAGAUGAUAUUAUAUUAUAUUCAACAAGGAACCCUAUAGUGGAGUUAUGAUUCUAGUAGUCCACGAUUCAUAUCCUCCAAGGGCAUUUCUAUGUCCAACUGAAAUCUGCAGGAGUUUUGGACCAACAGACGCAUAACAAACCAGGCUAUAAAGUUAGCAUUACAUGUGUUAGAUAAUUAAGAGCAUCUCCAAUGGCUUAGCACAAACAAAAGAGAGAGAGAGAGAGAGAGAGAGCUUCUCCAAUGUGGUCUGCUAAAAUAUCACAAAACAAUGAGUAGCUAUAAUAAAAUUUGUUGACCCAGGAAGAUGUUGUACUACCAAACCCAUCAGCUAAAAUCUUUGGCUAAAUUUUCCAAAUAGUGUUUUAGUAUUAUUUCAACUUAUUGUAAAUACUAAAAGAUGAAGUGGAUUUUCCUACAGUUCUUUACAGGUUCAGCAUAUAUAGCUAAUAUUAUGGGGUUUGCAUGAUUUUAUCUAAGGGAAAUAUGAAUGACCCAUGGGAGAGAUGUCAUUUUGACUGGUUAUGGAACAAUUGCCACGUAUCUAAUUUAGCCAAGGGUUGCUAUCGUUGAAGAUGCUCUAACAAAGUGACCAACCACAUGCACCCUUGUUCCAUGAGAUAGAUUGUUGUGCAGCUUCACUCAUAAGUUAGCCACCUAAACCAACAUCGGCAUAUAAAAAUACUCAAAAUCAAAAAAUGGCCAUUGUCCGCUGAUGAAAUCUCAAUAUAUGUUCUUU
rnacentral:lncRNA from 1 species